rnacentral:snRNA from 1 species
GGAAGUAAGAGUGAUCUGAUGCAAAAUCUGCCACCCUAUGGAUUGCCAGCGUUGAUUCUUCUGAUCCGGAUGGCUGGGCAGAUGUCCCUUCUUCCCUCACGGCUCCAUGCGCAUCCCUCCAGAACCUGUAUACUCGGUGGGAGAGGACUCGACCUUCCCUACAGGGGAGGAUGGUUCUUAGGUCAGUUGCAUAUGAGAAGUCUCACUCCUCUGCUAGUACCUCCAGUAGGACCAACCCCAUAGGGUUAGUAUGGGCAUUCAGUGACCACGCACAUAGCGCGUAGAAUGAGACAAACCCGUAAGAUGCACUAUAACGUAUUCGAGGGUCAAUUAUUUUCUAAUCCCUU